rnacentral:rRNA from 1 species
CCUACGGGGUGCAGCAGUGGGGAAUAUUGGACAAUGGGCGAAAGCCUGAUCCAGCCAUGCCGCGUAUGUGAAGAAGGCCUUCGGGUUGUAAAGCACUUUCAGUGGGGAAGAAAGCCUUGGGGCUAAUACCCUCGAGGAAGGACAUCACCCACAGAAGAAGCACCGGCUAACUCCGUGCCAGCAGCCGCGGUAAUACGGAGGGUGCGAGCGUUAAUCGGAAUUACUGGGCGUAAAGCGCGCGUAGGCGGUCUGAUAAGCCGGUUGUGAAAGCCCCGGGCUCAACCUGGGAACGGCAUCCGGAACUGUCAGGCUAGAGUGCAGGAGAGGAAGGUAGAAUUCCCGGUGUAGCGGUGAAAUGCGUAGAGAUCGGGAGGAAUACCAGUGGCGAAGGCGGCCUUCUGGACUGACACUGACGCUGAGGUGCGAAAGCGUGGGUAGCAAACAGGAUUAGAUACCCCAGUAGUC